rnacentral:misc_RNA from 1 species
AAGUCGUAACAAGGUUUCCGUAGGUGAACCUGCGGAAGGAUCAUUACAGAGUUCUUGCCCUUACGGGUAGAUCUCCCACCCUUGAAUACAUACCUUUGUUGCUUUGGCGGGCCGCGCUUGCGCUACUGGCUUCGGCUAGUACGUGCCCGCCAGAGGACCACAACUCUUGUUUUUAGUGAUGUCUGAGUACUAUAUAAUAGUUAAAACUUUCAACAACGGAUCUCUUGGUUCUG